GACGUAGGGCGCGAGCGUUGUCCGGAUUUAUUGGGCGUAAAGAGCUCGUAGGCGGCUUGUCGCGUCGAAUGUGAAAACUCGGGGCUCAACUCCGAGCUUGCAUUCGAUACGGGCAGGCUAGAGUUCGGUAGGGGAGACUGGAAUUCCUGGUGUAGCGGUGAAAUGCGCAGAUAUCAGGAGGAACACCGGUGGCGAAGGCGGGUCUCUGGGCCGGUACUGACGCUGAGGAGCGAAAGCGUGGGGAGCGAACAGG
rnacentral:rRNA from 1 species